rnacentral:lncRNA from 1 species
CUUAUGACCCGCACUUACUGGAAAUUCCUCCUUCAUGGGGAAUAAUUGCAAUCCCCCAUCCCCAUCACGAAUGAGGUUCAACAGGUUACCCGCCUCUGCCACGUAGGGUAGGCACACGCUGAGCCAGUCAGUGUAGCGCGCGUGCAGUCCCGGACAUCUAAGGGCAUCACAGAUCUGUUAUUGCUCAAUUUCGGGUGGCUGAAGGCCACUUGUCCCUCUAAGAAGUUGGGGGACGCCGACCGCUCGGGGGUCACGUAACUAGUUAGCAUGCCAGAGUCUCGUUGGUUAUUGGAAUUAACCAGACAAAUCACUCCACCAACUAAGGCCAUGCACCACCACCCAUGGAACAGAGAAACAGCUAUCAAUCUGUCAAUCCUGUCCCUGUCCGGCCCGGGGGAUUUUUCCCAUGUUGAGUCAAAUUAAGCCGCAGGCUCCACUCCUGGUGGUGCCCUUCCACCAAUUCCUUUAAGUUUCAGCUUUGCAACCGUACUCCCCCCGGAACCUAAAAACCCAAAGACUUUGGUUUCUUGGAAGCUGCCCAGCGGGUCAUGGGAAUAACACCGCCACGUUGCCAGUCGGCAUCGUUUAUGGUCAGAACUACCACGGUAUCUGAUCGUCUUCGAACCUCCGACUUUCAUUCUUGAUUAAUGAAAACAUUCUUGGCAAAUGCUUUCACUCUGGUCCAAACUGCGCCGGUCCAAGAAUUUCACCUCUAGCGGUGCAAUACAAAUGCCCCCAGCUGUCCCUCUUAAUCAUGGCCUCAGUUCCAUAAACCAACAAAAUAGAACCGCGGUCCUAUUCCAUUAUUCCUAGCUGCGGUAUCCAGGCGGCUUGGACCUGAGCUUUUUAACUGCAGCAACUUUAAUAUACGCUAUUGGAGCUGGAAUUACCGCGGCUGCUGGCACUAAACUUGCCCUCCAAUGGAUCUUCGUUAAAGGAUUUAAAGUGGACUCAUUCCAAUUACAGGACCUCGAAAGAGUCCUGUAUUGUUAUGUUUCAUCACUACCUCCUCGAGUCAGGAGUGGGUAAUUUGCAUGCCUGCUGCCUUCCUUGAAUGUGGUAGCCAUUUCUCAGGCUCCCUCUCCAGAAUCGAACCCUGAUUCUCCUUCACCCGUGGUCACCUUGGUAGGCACAGCGACUACCAUCGAAAGUUGAUAGGGCAGACGUUCGAAUGGGUCGUUGCUGCCACAGGGGGGCAUGCGAUUGGCCCGAGGCUAUCUAGAGUCACCAAAGCCGGUGGCACUCGACCCCUAGGCAGGGGCCGGAGAGGGGCUGACCGGGUUGGUUUUGAUCUGAUAAAUGCAGGCAUCUUCCCCGCGAAGGGGGUCAGCACCCUUCGGCAUGCAUUAGCUCUAGAAUUACCACAGUUUUCCAAGUAGGAGAGGAGCGAGCGACCAAAAGAACCAUAACUGAUUUAAUGAGCCAUUCGCAGUUUCACUGUACCGGCCCUGCCUACUUAGACAUGUAUGGCAUAAUCUUUGAGACAAGCAUAUGGUACUGGUA